rnacentral:rRNA from 1 species
UCCAGACUCCUACGGGAGGCAGCAGUGGGGGAUAUUGCACAAUGGGGGAAACCCUGAUGCAGCGACGCCGCGUGGGUGAAGAAGUAUUUCGGUAUGUAAAGCCCUCUCAGCAGGGAAGAAAGAAGACGGUACCUGACUAAGAAGCCCCGGCUAACUACGUGCCAGCAGCCGCGGUAAUACGUAGGGGGCGAGCGUUAUCCGGAUUCACUGGGUGUAAAGGGAGCGUAGACGGCCGUGCAAGCCAGGAGUGAAAGCCCGGGGCCCAACCCCGGGACUGCUCUGGAAACUGCGUCGCUGGAGUACGGGAGGGGCAGGCGGAAUUCCUGGUGUAGCGGUGAAAUGCGUAGAUAUCAGGAGGAACACCGGCGGCGAAGGCGGCCUGCUGGACCGUGACUGACGUUGAGGCUCGAGAGCGUGGGGAGCAAACAGGAUUAGAUACCCUAGUA